GGAUUGUAGCUCAGUGGUAAAAUGCUUGCCUAGCAUGUAUGGAACCCUGGGUUCAAUCCUCAACACCA
rnacentral:tRNA from 1 species